rnacentral:lncRNA from 1 species
UUUUGCAACAAUAUUUUCAUCUUUUAAGGAGUUUAUCAGGAUGUAAACCCUCAUAAGUCAAGGAAAACCAGUAGAUACAAAAAUACUCAACAAAAUACUAACAGCUGAAUCCAACAGCAUAUUAAAAGGAGUAUACCCCAUAACCAAGUGGGAUUUAUCCUUUGACUACAAGGGUUGUUCAACAUAUGAAAAGCAGUCAAUUUAAUCCACUGGGUUAAUAGAACAAAGGAAAAAACAUAAGACCAUCUCAAUUUAUACAGAAAAAGAGGCAUUUUACAAAAUCCAACACUCUUUCAUGAUAAAAGCACUCAAAAAGUUGAGAAUAGAAGUAGACUGCCUCAACAUGAUAAAAACCACAUGUGAAAAAUGCACAGACAAUCUCAUACUGGUGAAAGACUGGAAACUGCCCCCUGGUAUCAGGAACAAAACAAGGAUGCUCACUUUAGCCACUUCUAUUCAACAUUUUAGCAGAAGUUCUAGCCGGAGCAAUUAGGCAAAAGGAAAAUAAAAGGUGUACAAACUGGAGAGGAAGAAGUAAAACUAUAUUCACAGAUAACAUAAUCAUAAAUGUAAACAACCUUAAAGAUUUUCCAUAAAAAUAUUUUCCACAAACAAUUAUUAAAGUCAAUUUUAAACACAGCAAAUUUGCAGGACACAAGAUAAAUACCAAAAUUCAGUUGUAUUUCUAUACACUAACAGUAAGUGUCCAAAAAUGAACUAAAGAAAACAAUUCCAUUUAUAAUGGUAUAAAAAAUAAAAUAUUUAAGGAUAAAUUUAACCAAGAAGCUGUAGGGCUUGUACACUGGAAACUAUAAAACAAUUCUGAAAGAAAUUAAAGAAGGCCUAAGUAAGCAGAAAGAUAGCUCAUAUUCAUGGACUGCAAGAUUCAACGUUGUAAAGAUGGCAAUACUUCCCAAAGUGAUCUGCAGAUUCAACACAACCUCUAUCAAAAUUCCAGUAACCUUUUUUUAGCAGAAAUGGAAAAUCUGCCUCUAAAAUUGAUGUAGAAUUGCAAGGGUUCUUGAGUAACCGUAGCAAACUCAAAAAGAAGUACAAAGUGGGAACAUAAACACUCUUUAUUUCAAUCUAACUACAAAACUAUAGGAAACAAAGCAGUUGGUAUUCAAUAAACACAGGCCUAUAGACUAAUGGAAUGGAAUCAAACUAAGAGUACAGAAAUAAGUCCAUCUAUCUAUGACCAAAUGAUUUUUUGACAAGGGUGUCAAGACCACCAAUGGGGAAGUAUAGUCUCUUCAACAGAUAGUGUCAGAACUAGAUAUCCACAUGCAAACAGUGAAGUUGGACUCCUACCUCACACCAUGUAUAAAGUAAUUAACUCAUAAUGGAAAAUAAUAAUCCUUGGCAAGGAUGUGGAUAAAUUGAAACCCUUAUACAUUGAUGGUAUGGA